GACGAACGCUGGCGGCGUGCUUAACACAUGCAAGUCGAACGGUAAGGCCCUUCGGGGUACACGAGUGGCGAACGGGUGAGUAACACGUGGGUGAUCUGCCCUGCACUUCGGGAUAAGCCUGGGAAACUGGGUCUAAUACCGGAUAGGACCACUGCCUGCAUGGGUGGUGGUGGAAAGCUUUCGCGGUGUGGGAUGGGCCCGCGGCCUAUCAGCUUGUUGGGGGGGUGAUGGCCUACCAAGGCGACGACGGGUAGCCGGCCUGGGAGGGUGACCGGGCACCCCGGGACUGGGAUAGGGCCCAGACUCCUACGGGAGGCAGCAGUGGGGAAUAUUGCACAAUGGGCGCAAGCCUGAUGCAGCGACGCCGCGUGAGGGAUGACGGCCUUAGGGUUGUAAACCUCUUUCAGCACCGUCGAAGCGCAAGUGACGGUAGGUGCAGAAGAAGGACCGGCCAACUACGUGCCAGCAGCCGCCGUAA
rnacentral:rRNA from 1 species